AUUUUUUUUUCUAAAUUAAAAAACAAAACCAAAGAUCGUUGCCCAUGUGUAAUGUAACUUGUAUCCUAUGCUUCUCAAUAUCAUGUUCUCAUUAGAACUAUCACAUCUCACUUUUGACACUAUCAUCAGAAUUGUGUUUGAACUGAACAAGGUAGAAUUUGGGGAGUUAUAUUGCAAGUACCAUAUGGUAGGAACUAAGCAGAAGGUAACUAAAUCUCUGUUUCUUUCUUUCUUCCUCAAAUAACAACCAAGAAAAGGAAUAAAAAGGUGGAUUCACAUCAUGUCUCAUAUUGCUAGGCUGUCCAUCUCCAUAACCAAGUGAUAUUUUAUCAACAAAUAACUUCAACCAACGUUGUAACAUAUUUUGAUAACUAUAGCCACAGGUGCAUAACAUCAUAAGUUUAAUGGAUAGAAGGCUAGGUUAUAUUGCAUAUAGAAUUUCCAUAUAUAUCACUAACCAGACAUUGCAAGGGGCUCACAGCUAAUAACUUAAAAUUUUGUAACAAGAAGAUUAGUUUUCCGUGACUUACAG
rnacentral:misc_RNA from 1 species